GCCCGGGUGGCUCAGUGGACAGAACAUGUGACUUUCAAUCUCAGGGUCGUGAGUUCAAGCCCCACAUUGGGCC
rnacentral:tRNA from 1 species